rnacentral:rRNA from 1 species
AGAGCGAACGCUGGCGGCAGGCCUAACACAUGCAAGUCGAGCGCCCGUAGCAAUACGGGAGCGGCAGACGGGAUAGUAACACGUGGGAACGCGCCCUUCGGUUCGGAAUAACUCAGGGAAACUUGAGCUAAUACCGGAUACGCCCUUACGGGGAAAGAUUUAUUGCCGAAGGAACGGCCCGCGUCCGAUUAGCUAGUUGGUGAGGUAAUGGCUCACCAAGGCGACGAUCGGUAGCUGGUCUGAGAGGAUGACCAGCAUCACUGGGACUGAGACACGGCCCAGACUCCUACGGGAGGCAGCAGUGGGGAAUAUUGGACAAUGGGCGCAAGCCUGAUCCAGCCAUGCCGCGUGGAUGAUGAAGGCCUUAGGGUUGUAAAGUCCUUUCGACGGGGAAGAUAAUGACGGUACCCGUAGAAGAAGCCCCGGCUAACUUCGCGCCAGCAGCCGC